UCUCUCUCUCUCUCUCCUUUAUCAUCAUUUGCUUUUACGGGGAAAGUGGUUGUGGGUUCCUGCAAAUGCUGAGAACGAAAGGAAGUAGCAAAACAUGAAUUUGAUGCCAGGAGGCAACUAUGAGAUCAUGCAAUCCCGGCCAUUCGAUAAGAGGAACUAUUUUCAAGUGAAUGCAUUACAACCCACCAAUCAUUGCCACGUCAAGACAAGAUGUCCCUUCCAUUAGUUUAAUAUGCUUCCAGGACAUCUUUAAUCCUAUUUUUCUGUGGAGAGAGUAUCAGGUAUAUAUUUCAGCUGCUGAAAGCUGCAAUUCUGCCCAAAUUUUCUAGCAGAAAUCAACUUUGUCGCCUGAGCAAUGAGCAAUUCAUUUAUGGUGUCUAUCAUUUGUGUUGUGUCAUAUUUCAAUUAGCUGGGAAGUGAAGUUAAAGGAUGAGAAAAUGAUAGCUUAAUAAUUCAUUAUUUAUAUAUAUACGCAAGUGGACUAGAGUGGCAGACAACUUUGAAUGUGAAAUGAAUUAAUGAAGUAAAUAAUUGAAAA